GUCUACGGCCAUACCACCCUGAACACGCCCAAUCUCAUCUGAUCUCAGAAGCUAAGCAGGGUUGGGCCUGCUUAGUACUUGGAUGGGAGAAAUGAAGACAACUAUAGAGG
ensembl:rRNA 5S_rRNA 5S ribosomal RNA